CGCGAAGAGGAGCAAGAGGACGCUCGCGAGGCUCAUUACCUCGAGGUUGCAGGUUCGAACCCUGCCUUCGCUA
rnacentral:tRNA from 1 species